GUCUGAUGGAGCAAUACCACGUGAACGAUGAAGGUCUUCUGAUUGUAAAGUUCUUUUACUUAGGAAAAAAAGCUUGACAGGAAAUGGUUAAGCCUUGAUCGUACUAGGUGAAUAAGUGACAGCUAACUAUGUGCCAGCAGCUGCGGUAACACAUAGGUCACAAGCAUUAUCCGGAUUUAUUGGGCGUAAAGGAAGCGUAGGCGGACAGUCUGAUCCAUUGUUAAAUGCACUUGCUCAACAAGUGUAUGCAGUGGAGAUCUCCUGUCUAGAAUUAAUUAGGAGAAACUGGAAUUCAAUGUGUAGUGGUGGAAUACGUAGAUAUAUUGAGGAACACCAAAGGCGAAAGCAAGUUUCUAGAAUAUAAUUGACGCUGAGGCUUGAAAGCGUGGGGAGCAAAUGGGAUUAGAUACCCCAGUAGUCCACGCCGUAAACGAUGGGUAUUUGGUAUUUGGGCUGGACCUGAGUGCCGGAGCUAACGCGUUAAAUGCCCCGCCUGGGUAGUAUAUAUGCAAAUAUGAAACUCAAAGAAAUUGACGGGGAUCUGAACAAGUGGUGGAGCAUGUUGCUUAAUUCGAUAAUACACGAAAAACCUUACCAAGGCUUGUAAUCUUCUGCAAAAGUGUAGAAAUACAGUGGAGUAUAUCAGAAUGACAGGUGGUGCAUGGCUGUCGUCAGCUCGUGUCUUGAGAUGUUUGGUUAAGUCCCGUAACGAGCGCAACCCCUCUCAUUAGUUAAUUAGUUCUAAUGUGACUGAAUCGUAAGAUAUAGGAAGGAUGGGGCCAAGUCAAGUCAUCAUGCCCCUUAUGCCUUGGGCUGCAAACGUGCUACAAUGGUAGGUACAAUGUGUUGCAACUUAGCGAUAAUGAGCUAAUCACCGAAAACCUAUCUCAGUCCGGAU
rnacentral:rRNA from 1 species